UGGCCCCCCAUCAGACGCAAAUUUAUAUAAAAAUUAUGUCAAUCGUUUGUGCUAUGAUUGUGCUGGUUUGUGCUGCAAAAAGUUUCGUUUGUGCCACCAUCGUUUUGCAGUUAUUAAACAUUGUUUUUUAGGUCAUCCAGAGUUCACCCAGCCCCCCAUCUGUGGCAGAAUGGAACCCCGGUGGUGUCAUUUGAUUCUGCCUCUUUAGUGCUGGAUUGUGCUGAAAAAAGUUUUGUUUGAACUGCUACGGUUUUCGAGAUAUUCAUAAAAAUGUACAUUGAUGACGUCACGCGCAGCCCCCCAUCAGACGCAAAUUUAUAUAAAAAUUAUGUCAAUCGUUUGUGCUAUGAUUGUGCUGGUUUGUGCUGCAAAAAGUUUCGUUUGUGCCAUCAUCGUUUUGCAGUUAUUAAACAUUGUUUUUUAGGUCAUCCAGAGUUCACCCAGCCCCCCAUCUGUGGCGGAAUGGAACCCCGGUGGUGUCAUUUGAUUCUGCCUCGUUAGUGCUGGAUUGUGCUGAAAAAAGAUUUGUUUGAACUGCUACGGUUUUCGAGAUAUUCAUAAAAAUGUAUAGUGAUGACGUCACUCGCAGCCCCCCAUCAGACGCAAAUUUAUAUAAAAAUUAUGUCAAUCGUUUGUGCUAUGAUUGUGCUGGUUUGUGCUGCAAAAAGUUUCGUUUGUGCCAUCAUCAUUUUGCAGUUAUUAAACAUUGUUUUUUUAGGUCAUCCAGAGUUCACCCAGCCCCCCAUCUGUGGCGGAAUGGAACCCCAGUGGUGUCAUUUGAUUCUGCCUCGUUAGUGCUGGAUUGUGCUGCAAAAAGUUUUGUUUGAACUGCUACGGUUUUCGAGAUAUUCAUAAAAAUGUCUAGUGAUGACGUCACGCGCAGCACCCCAUCUGCGGCGGAAUGGAACGGCGAUGAUGCCAUUUUUUUCUUCGUCGUUAGUGCUGGAUUGUGCUGCAAAAAGUUUUGUUUGAACUGCUACGGUUUUCGAGAUAUUCAUAAAAAUGUCUAGUGAUGACGUCACGCGCAGCCCCCCAUCUGCGGCGGAAUGGAACGGUGAUGAUGCCAUUUUUUUCUUCGUCGUUAGUGCUGGAUUGUGCUGCAAAAAGUUUUGUUUGAACUGCUACGGUUUUCGAGAUAUUCAUAAAAAUGUCUAGUGAUGACGUCACGCGCAGCCCCCCAUCUGCGGCGGAAUGGAACGGCGAUGAUGCCAUUUUUUUCUUCGUCGUUAGUGCUGGAUUGUGCUGCAAAAAGUUUUGUUUGAACUGCUACGGUUUUCGAGAUAUUCAUAAUAAUGUAAAGUGAUGACCUGUUUUCAGCGCUGCGGGCCGCACAAUCGGUUCUUGUCUCGUGACGUUUCUGGCGCAAUGCAUUGUGGGUUUUCGUGUAUUGUACAACAACAACAAGCCCGUUACGCGAUCCUUUGCUCGGCAUCCAUUCUGCGUGGUAAUCGUUGAAAAUGGUACACUCGUGUUGUUUGAAAGACUGCCAUUCUAGGUCCCAUGAUAGAAACGAAUGCAAAAAGGAUGGGAUACGUUUUUUUUUUUAGCAUUCCCGCCUGGAAGAGAAAAUAUGGAACUCCGAUGAGUUGACCAAGAGGCUUGAAUGGUUGCAGCGGUGAGAAGAAAGGCCAUCGCUUUUCAUUCAUCAACUGAAAACAUGUCGGUCUGUUCCCUACAUUUCCAUAAAGGAAAACCAGCAUAUGAAAGAAAUGAGGCAGACCCUGACUGGGCACCAUCCUUACGCCUGGGACACACAUGUGUUCAACCCACCAACGUGGACCGCUCUUCUAGACGAAGUAGGCAUGAGAAAUUGAGGAUGGAGGAGGACGUUGGUGCGCUACAGGAGGAGCCUUCAGCGCCCUUCAGAUGCUCCUUCUGACCUUCAUGCGCCUGCGUUAGGACCUGUCUGCACUACACAGUGCACACAUAUUCCAUGUUUCCCGUAAGACUGUGUACUGAGUGUUCAAUGACAUGGUGCCCUUUGUACAUGCUAAUUUGAGACGAGCAAUUGUUUGGCCCAACAGAGAAACACUCUAUAAAACAAUGCCUCACGAGUUUGUUGAGUCCUUCAGACGCAGAGUUGCAGUGAUUAUUGAUUUAAAAAAAAAAAAAAAAAAAAAAUUACAGAGAAA